rnacentral:rRNA from 1 species
GACGAACGCUGGCGGCGUGCUUAACACAUGCAAGUCGAACGGAAAGGUCCUGCUUUUGUGGGGUGCUCGAGUGGCGAACGGGUGAGUAACACGUGAGUAACCUGCCCUUGACUUUGGGAUAACUUCAGGAAACUGGGGCUAAUACCGGAUAGGAGCUCCUGCUGCAUGGUGGGGGUUGGAAAGUUUCGGCGGUUGGGGAUGGACUUGCGGCUUAUCAGCUUGUUGGUGGGGUAGUGGCUUACCAAGGCUUUGACGGGUAGCCGGCCUGAGAGGGUGACCGGCCACAUUGGGACUGAGAUACGGCCCAGACUCCUACGGGAGGCAGCAGUGGGGAAUAUUGCACAAUGGGCGGAAGCCUGAUGCAGCAACGCCGCGUGCGGGAUGACGGCCUUCGGGUUGUAAACCGCUUUCGCCUGUGACGAAGCGUGAGUGACGGUAAUGGGUAAAGAAGCACCGGCUAACUACGUG